rnacentral:rRNA from 1 species
AGUAUAAACCCCUUUACAAGUAUCAAUUGGAGGGCAAGUCUGGUGCCAGCAGCCGCGGUAAUUCCAGCUCCAAUAGCGUAUAUUAAAGUUGUUGCAGUUAAAAAGCUCGUAGUUGGAUUUCUGUUAAUAAUUUAUAUAAAAUAUUUUGAUGAAUAUUUAUAUAAUAUUAACAUAAUUCAUAUUACUAUAUAUUUUAGUAUAUGAAAUUUUACUUUGAGAAAAUUAGAGUGCUUAAAGCAGG